UUGAUAGGCCGGGUGUGUAAGCGCAGCGAUGUGUUGAGCUAACCGGUACUAAUGAACCGUGAGGCUUAACCUUACAACGCCGAAG
rnacentral:rRNA from 1 species